GACGGUAAAGCUCAAUGGUAGAGCAUGUGCCUUGCAUGCAUAAGAUCCUGGGUUCAAUCCUCAAUACCUCCC
rnacentral:tRNA from 1 species